rnacentral:tRNA from 4 species
GGACCCGUUGCAUAGCAUGGAUAGUGCGGACGCUUCCGGAGCGUCAGGUCGCCGGUUCGAGUCCGGUCGGGUCCGCCA